CAGCAGCCGCGGUAAUACGUAGGUGGCAAGCGUUGUCCGGAAUUAUUGGGCGUAAAGCGCGCGCAGGCGGUCCCUUAAGUCUGAUGUGAAAGCCCACGGCUCAACCGUGGAGGGUCAUUGGAAACUGGGGGACUUGAGUGCAGAAGAGGAAAGUGGAAUUCCACGUGUAGCGGUGAAAUGCGUAGAGAUGUGGAGGAACACCAGUGGCGAAGGCGACUUUCUGGUCUGUAACUGACGCUGAGGCGCGAAAGCGUGGGGAGCAAACAGGAUUAGAUACCCUGGUAGUCCACGCCGUAAACGAUGAGUGCUAAGUGUUAGGGGGUUUCCGCCCCUUAGUGCUGCAGCUAACGCAUUAAGCACUCCGCCUGGGGAGUACGGCCGCAAGGCUGAAACUUAAAGGAAUUGGUGGG
rnacentral:rRNA from 1 species